UUCUCACCAUAACCCCAUAGGGUAGGGGGAAUUUUGUGGAACAAUGCCUCACUUAAAUACAACUCAGGCACAAGUCAAGACAUCAUCCCAUGAUAUCAUCGGUCCUCUUCAAAAAUGAAGGAUGCACAACAACAAGAUUAUUAUUGUUAUUUUCUACAUGUUUGGAAUUAAGUCAUUUCCAAUUGUGGAAUCCUGGAAUUUUAAAGCUGGAAGAGACCUCAGAGAUAGCUCAAUUCAAGAAGCAUUGAUUACAUCAUGUACUAAACUGUGGCUCUGUGCGAGGUGUUGUGGAUGAAAAGCAAAAAAAGAAACACAAUCCCUUCCCACAAGUUGGGAGUGACUAUCUAUGAUGAUUUGUCGGUGAAUGUGACACCAGGAUUGACCCCAUACAUAAAAAGGGUAGUUGUUUGUCUAUGUGGAAUGACUGAUAGCCCUGGGAAAGAUCCUUUCAGCUCAAAUUCUUCCUUCCUCUGUCUGGGACUCAAAACCACGUAACCUUCCUGACUGCCAUUGCCAACUGUGAAGGUAGACCAGAAUGAGCUCCAUCUUUCAGAAUCUUUGGCUUCUUUCAAGAUUUUGUUCAGUACCACCUCCUCUGUGAAGUAUUCUGGGUUGCCCCAAUUUUUAAUUUUCCUGAAAUUUUCUCCUGAAAUUUUCCAGAAUAACUUGGUCAAAAUUUCUCCUUGAUUCUUUUCUGUCCCAGUUCUAUACUUAAAGGUACAUAUGGUGAAACCAUCCAGGAGAAUGUCUCUUAUUUGGCAGUAGAAAGAAGCCUUUCUUGUUUGGCAUCAUGGGAUUCUAAAGCUAGAAAUAGAAGAUAUCACCUGAUCCAAUCCACUCAUAUUAUAGAUGAAGAAACUGAGACCCAGAGAAAUCAAAUGACUUUUCAAUAGAGUACAGGCUGAGAUGUCAAACCAGGUCCUCUGACUGUAUGACCAGCCCUAGCACAACGCUUUGAACAAAGAGGGCUCUUCAAGUUUUGGAACAAAUACUUGGGUGAUUGAAAUGUCUAUACAUAAAGAUUCAUUUCUUUGGGUCAAAGUAUUAAGAUAAUAAUAAUAGCUCCCUUUUAAUAACACUCUGUUCUACAAAAUGCUUUACCCAUAUGAUAUCAUUUGGUCCUCACAAUGACCUUGGAAGAGGUUAUUAUUUAAUUUAG
rnacentral:lncRNA from 1 species